AUUGAACGCUGGCGGAAUGCUUUACACAUGCAAGUCGAACGGCAGCACGGACUUCGGUCUGGUGGCGAGUGGCGAACGGGUGAGUAAUACAUCGGAACGUGCCCAGUCGUGGGGGAUAACGUAGCGAAAGCUACGCUAAUACCGCAUACGAUCUAAGGAUGAAAGCGGGGGAUCGCAAGACCUCGCGCGAUUGGAGCGGCCGAUGGCAGAUUAGGUAGUUGGUAGGGUAAAGGCCUACCAAGCCGACGAUCUGUAGCUGGUCUGAGAGGAUGAUCAGCCAAACUGGGACUGAGACACGGCCCAGACUCCUACGGGAGGCAGCAGUGGAGAAUUUGGGACAAUGGGCGCAAGCCUGAUCCAGCCAUUCCGCGUGCAGGAUGAAGGCCUUCGGGUUGUAAACUGCUUUUGUACAGAACGAAAAGGCUCUGGUUAAUACCCGGGGCUCAUGACGGUACUGUAAGAAUAAGCACCGGCUAACUACGUGCCAGCCGCCGCAGUAA
rnacentral:rRNA from 1 species